rnacentral:rRNA from 1 species
UACGUAGGGGGCAAGCGUUAUCCGGAUUUACUGGGUGUAAAGGGAGCGCAGGCGGUGUGGCAAGUCUGAUGUGAAAACCCGGGGCUCAACCCCGGGCCUGCAUUGGAAACUGUCAUACUGGAGUGUCGGAGAGGUAAGCGGAAUUCCUAGUGUAGCGGUGAAAUGCGUAGAUAUUAGGAGGAACACCAGUGGCGAAGGCGGCUUACUGGACGACAACUGACGCUGAGGCUCGAAAGCGUGGGGAGCAAACAGG